rnacentral:sRNA from 1 species
UCUGCUGCCACAUAUGCCUAGAAGACCAGCGGGGCCCCUCUCAUUAGGUGGGGCUGGGAGUCAGCUGGUGCACUGCCCCCUGCCUUGGUCCUGCUGAGUCUUGACCCCCAUGUCUUCAGGCCAGAGCCUGGGAACCUCUCAGAGAAGGUCUCUCACUUGGAGUCCAUGCUCAGGAAGCUGCAGGAGGACCUGCAGAAGGAGAAGGCGGACAGGGCGGCCCUGGAGGAGGAGGUGCGGAGCCUGAGACACAACAACCGGCGGCUACAGGCGGAGUCUGAGAGUGCAGCCACACGCCUGCUCCUGGCUUCCAAGCAGCUGGGCUCACCCACUGCCGACCUGGCCUGAGCCAUCUGGAACCACCUGGGCCCCUGAGGGCACCAUGGUCACACUGGGCCCUCCUCAGGAACUCUCCCUGCGCAGAGGCGCGUCUUAGCACUGCCCCCCUCCCUAGCCCCUUAUUUGGUGGCGCAAGUGGCCUCCACCCCUUCCCUGUUUGUAAAUAUUCUGUGGAGAAAAGAGGACUUCAGGGAGUAAAAAAGCCACUGCUG